AAUCAACGCUGGCGGCGUGCCUCAGACAUGCAAGUCGUACGAUUAAAGCUCUCUUCGGAGAGUGUAUAGAGUGGCGCACGGGUGAGUAACACGUAAGUAAUCUACCUUCGAGUGGGGAAUAACAGUCGGAAACGACUGCUAAUACCGCAUAAUGCAGCGGCACCUAAUGGUGACAGUUGUUAAAGCAUUUAUGUGCUUGAAGAGGAGCUUGCGGCAGAUUAGCUAGUUGGUAAGGUAAUGGCUUACCAAGGCGACGAUCUGUAGCCGACCUGAGAGGGUGGUCGGUCACACUGACACUGAAUAACGGGUCAGACUCCUACGGGAGGCAGCAGUCGGGAAUUUUGGGCAAUGAGCGAAAGCUUGACCCAGCAACGCCGCGUGAAGGAUGAAGUUCUUCGGGAUGUAAACUUCAGAAGGAUAGGAAGAAUAAGCUUAAUUAAAUAUUAAGUGAUGACGGUACUAUCUUUAAGCUCCGGCUAACUCCGUGCCAGC
rnacentral:rRNA from 1 species